AUUUGAUCACGCCCCGACCACAAUUGUUACCUCAUGAUACUCAAAGAAUGAUUUCAAUUUCCUUAUUCCUUAAAUAAAGCGUAAUAUUUUAAUCACAUUACACAAUUUAAAUUUUUUUUUCAAAUUUACUGAUCAGAAUGAAAUUUAAUUUAUGUUAGAAUUUUAAUGUGUGAGGACGUUCCGCUUUAUCGAUUUAUUUAUUUUUAUACUAUAAAACUACAGGUGCAAUGUCUUUUUUAAAGUCUUGAUAUCAUAUCAAAGCCAUUGCAUUCGUGAAGCCUUAAAAACUAAAGCGUGCACAUUUUUUAAUGUAAUAAAACGCUUAAUGUGUACUUUCUUGUUUAACGUGGCUCGUGGCUGGAUGGUCAAGAAGUUAACGAUCAGAUCUAUCUUAUAAUUUUGAUCAUAAUAUCUUAUCUUAAGUUAAAGGUAUUGUUUUGUGAAGAACUAGUCAGUCUUUAUAUUUUAGAUUUAAAUUUUGAUAUUUACUAAUAUCUUUACAAAAGGUCUUCUAUGGGACAUAAUUGUCAUCCAAAAGUUGUCUGAUCAGCAAUCCUUCUUGUUAUGUUUAUUUAUUGUUAUUUAUCAUUUUUCUUUUUUUCAAUUUUUGUAAUAUUAUAUAUGCCUGACUUUUUUAAUCACUAUAGAUAAAACAAUGUCAUACAACUUCUUUAAGAUGGAAGUAUUACUGGUAUAUAAAACAAAAUGGCAAUGUACAGGGAUGUUUUGGGUUUGGGUUUUUUAAUAAUUCAUUGUAAGCUACGCUGUACAGUUUGUUAUCAUUAAGUUUUUCUUUUUU
rnacentral:sRNA from 1 species